UUUGCAGAGAGAGAAAAAAAAGAAGAAGAAAAAAGACAGAAAAAAA
rnacentral:sRNA from 1 species